rnacentral:lncRNA from 1 species
AACAGAAACCCAGCCAGCGCCAGCCGCUCCGACAGUACUUGGUGGCCGGAGAGUCGGCAGCAGGAAGCAUGAGGCAGGAAAUGACCCAAUCCUUGAGGUCUGCUUAUAGAUAA